UUUUUUUUUUUUUUUUUUUUUUGGGUAAUAACAGGCCCGUGCCAAAAACAAUCAUGGCUUCAGUUGAUACUUCAGGGCCAGAAUCACUAAUUGGGCCAUUAUGUUGGGUCUGCCGAGAAAUAAAUAAUCUUGUCCUUAAAAAACCGAAAAAGAAAAAAAAAAUAUUAACCUUUCCCCAAGGCAAGUGGUUAAUGUAUUACAUUUUUUAAGACUUUUUAUUUAUUUAUUUUAAUUUUGGUUACCAAUUGGGACUAGUUUAGGGAUUGGGAUUCUACAAUCGGCAGAUGAAUUGCAGCAUGCAAUUCAUGGACCAGAUGGAUUCAAUUAUAAGAUAUUUGCCAAAAAAUUUUUUUUUUAAUGUAAGACAUAUUGCAAAAAACUUAAAAAUCUUUACCAUGAAAAUUGACCAAUUAAGGCAGUGUGAUGAACACUAGCAUAAAAUGUUACAAAAUAUAACAGGGUUCCUUAAGUCCAAAAUCAAUAUUUUCCUAAGUUUCUGGUCUUUUUUUUUUUUUUUUUAAAAAAGAGGUACUUCAACAUGUCAAAAAUGAAAAGAUUUUUUUUGUGGCUUUCCAAAUUUGUAUUUGCGAAUCAAAUCAAAUUUAGCAACGUCUCUUUUAACUUCUUGCACAAAGGUCUUUGAACUUCUUAUCCAAAGGUCAACUUUUAAGGUACAUAAUAAUUUUGUACCUUUUUUAGUUCCCAAUCCAAUAAUAUAUAUUCCCAUCCAGGCUCGGAUUUACUAAUUAACAAAUUUUGCCAGAAAAGCAUUAAUAGAAUGGGCUUGUUGAAUUAGUUGCAAUAGUUCAUGGGCUAAUUAAGAUGAAAAAAAGUUUAAUGGUCCGGAAGAGAAUUUGGAAUAGUUUGAUGGGCUACUAUGCACUUUACCCAAAUAAUUUGAUACCCGUUUCAUUUCAUGGGCUAAAACUCUAUCCCAAACUUUGAGGUUCUUGGAACAAGAAAAACAUGUCACACGUGACCAAAAAAUGGGGUAUUACUAUGUUGGUAUAGACUAUGCACAAUUUUAUGAUGUAAUAAUUAGGUACAAAUUACAUUGGAUUGAGAAAAAAUUGGAGGGUCAAUUAAAUAACAAGAAUAGGAUUCAAGAAUACAAGUGUUCCAAUCCCAAUUGUGGGAAAAUGUAUACUGCCCUCAAUGCUCAAGAAUUGGCUUCUUUGGCACUAGAUGAUGAGUGUUUUCGUUGCGAGUUUUGCAAUGGGGAAGUUGUGGAGGAUAUGGCUGACGAAGAAAGGUUGAAAUUUUGCAAGAAAAAUGAGAUGUUGUAGAAGAGGAGGCAUGACCAAAAUUUGGCCCAAAAAAAAAAUGUAAGGUUCAGAUUUCAUUUUAUACAUCAUUUUUUCACAUCAUAUGUGAGGCGGGGCCUAUAAAAAUUUAUUUUAUAAUUACAUAUUGUUGAAAGUAAGUUAUAUCGUGUGCAUUUUACACAAAUCUGCUCCGAACAAUUUCUUGGGGCCCUUGUCCGAAAGAAGAUGGAGCUGCAGCUUUGGCCCAUGAUUGAUCAAGUGAAUACAGUAAAGGAUUUACCUGCUCCCGAAUUUGGAAGUCUACAAGAAUGACAAGGUGGAAAAAUGUUUGCGGGGUAGACAAAGAUUGAAGUGACUUUCUCUGGAAAUUCUACAUCAUCAAAAGAUGAUGAUUGGGUAGAUUGGGGGGAAGGUUGAAGGAUUGGUGCUUCAUCAUGUCUUAUUAAUAAUUGAGACUAGUAGUUCAUUUAUUAAUUGACUUUUCCAGCUGUUGUACUAUUCUGCUGGUGGAUUAUAGAAACUUGUACAAUGAAUUCAUGAGUUGAGUAGUUAAACUUGAACAAGUUUUUUUUGUUAUAUGGCCAUUGGUACCAAAGAGAAGACUUGUGAUGUAAGUCCUGACAGAAAUUCAAUUGACUGCUAGAUGGAUUUGAGAAAAAAGAGCAAGAAAUUUUAAAAUAUCCAUUUGCCUUAUGAUUUGAUGAAUAAUGGGAAAGAAAAGAAAGGACAAAAAAAAAAAAAAAAAAAAUUGAAGUGCAAAACUUCAACUGGAUAGUGCAAACAAAAGAAAUAAGACUUCAUAAUGCAACUCCAGAACAAAACAGUAGCACUGCAAUGAGCCAUACGCAAUCUGCAGGCACCUAUCAAGUAAAAAAAAACCAGACCAACAAGCACCAAACCCCAAAAGAAGGGGAAAAAAUAAAAAAAACCAGACUAACAAGCUCAAGUUCUUGAAUGUUUUAACAGAAAGCAGAAGUUACAUGCACAAACAAGCAAACAAGAUUAUUUCCCAGGUU
rnacentral:lncRNA from 1 species